rnacentral:lncRNA from 1 species
UAUUAUAGUGUGAAUGUGAGAGUUGGACUUGGACAUUAGUAAACAAAGGCGACAUUGACAAUAGAGACAUUGUUUGGGCAUAGAGGAUAUAGUUGUUGAACAUAGUUUAACCAAGAGUGGCAUUGGACCAAGUUGAUAUAGAGAGUGGCAUGAUUAAAUAGGUAGAAACCUAUUAUGACAAUGGCAUUGUGACAAGUGGCUAUGAAUCCUCAAGUUGAGGAUUGGAUCAUACUCACAUAGUCUGUUUUUAGCUUGGCGUGGUCGCUCCACCCAAGCAAUGCACUCCAGAGUUGUCACACGAUGGGCUAACGUACUUGCCCUUGGACUAACGUACUUGUCCAGCAGACGGUCCCCAGGGAAGUUCGAGUCCCCCGUUAUUAAGGGAU